GACGAACGCUGGCGGCGUGCCUAAUACAUGCAAGUAGGACGCAGUUGCGAACGGGGGAGUAACGCGUAGGUAACUACCUAUUAGAGGGGGAUAACUAUUGGAAACGAUAGCUAAUACCGCAUACUAGUAGAUGGACCUGCGUUGUAUUAGCUAGUAGGUAGGGUAAUGGCCGACCUAGGCAACGAUACAUAGACGACCUGAGAGGGGGAUCGGCCACACUGUGACUGGGAAACGGCCCAGACGCCGACGGGAGGCAGCAGUAAGGAAUCUUCGGAAAUGGGGGGAACCAUGACCAAGCAACGCCGAGGGAGUGAAGAAGGUUUUCGGAUCGUAAAGCUCUGUUGUUAAGGAAGCGGUACUUAACCAGAAAGGGACGGCUAACUACGUGCCAGCAGCCGCGGUAAUAC
rnacentral:rRNA from 1 species